rnacentral:rRNA from 1 species
GUACACUCCUACGGGAGGCAGCAGUGGGGAAUAUUGGACAAUGGGCGCAAGCCUGAUCCAGCCAUGCCGCGUGAGUGAUGAAGGCCCUAGGGUUGUAAAGCUCUUUCACCGGUGAAGAUAAUGACGGUAACCGGAGAAGAAGCCCCGGCUAACUUCGUGCCAGCAGCCGCGGUAAUACGAAGGGGGCUAGCGUUGUUCGGAUUUACUGGGCGUAAAGCGCACGUAGGCGGACUAUUAAGUCAGGGGUGAAAUCCCGGGGCUCAACCCCGGAACUGCCUUUGAUACUGGUAGUCUUGAGUUCGAGAGAGGUGAGUGGAAUUCCGAGUGUAGAGGUGACAUUCGUAGAUAUUCGGAGGAACACCAGUGGCGAAGGCGGCUCACUGGCUCGAUACUGACGCUGAGGUGCGAAAGCGUGGGGAGCAAACAGGAUUAGAAACCCCAGUAGUCCCA